rnacentral:rRNA from 1 species
GGGUCAGUAGGUUGGUCGUGCCACCGGUACGUACUGGUCUCACUGAUUCCUCCUUCCUGAAGGACCGUAAUGCCAUUAAUUUGGUGUUGCGGGGACACAGGACUGUUACUUUGAAAAAAUUAGAGUGUUUAAAGCAAGCUAACGCUUGAAUACAUUAGCAUGGAAUAAUGAAAUCGGACGAUCGAUCCUAUUUUGUUGGUUUCUAGGAUUGACGUA